UGUAAUGCUGCUAAUGCUCUACCAAAUAAGGAAAGAUUUUCUACAGAAAAUAUUCACAACAGUUUCUGUUAAUCAUCAGAUCAACACCCACUCACCGCCAUGAUUCUGUUACAGUAGAUAUUAAAAUCAACAAUUUCACAGAUAAACCCCAAAUAUUUCUUUCUAGUUUCUCUACUCUAUUUCAAUUAGUUAUUCAGCAAAAUGAAAACCCCUGAAACUAAUGGAUAAAAGAAGAGAAGAAGAAGAAGACAUAAAGGAAUUGUUUAAGAACAUCAUGGAAGGUUACAGUGACAAGGUUAUACCAUUUUCGUCUGAUUUAAUUACUGACAACGACGACAAAAAUAUCACCGACGGAAAUGCUAGUGCCGAUCAUCAGAUGGUGAAAACUUGUUUUUCAAUCAAGAAGAAAGGUAGUACUAAAAGAGUAAAAGCAGAAGUUUCCCAUCAAUCGUUAGUAUCAAUGGAGACUAUUCAGAAAAAAAAAGUAAGAGAGAUUUGAUCCAACCACAUUUAUCUGAGAAAGAAAGAAGAAUUAAAAUGGCUGAAAAAUACUCUGUUCUUCAAUCUCUGCUCCCUAAUCUAAAAUAUAUAUAAGAGAUCACAAACUGUGAUAAUAGAAGAAGCAAUAAAAUACAUAAGGAAUCUCGAAGAAGAAUUGGAAAAAUUAGAAGAAUCAAUUUCAGGUUAGAAGAAGAAGAAGAAGAAGAAGCUUUUUUCAGGUCAGAAAUUCUACUGCUGAUGUAGAAUCAUCUAAAACAACAACAACAACAAAUUCAUUCAGAAAUUCUAUUGUUGAUGUAACAAUUUCAGGUCAGGCAGCUUUUUUUGGAAUACAAGUAGUAAUUAACAACAGUGCUGAAGAACCAUUUUUAUUUUCUAGUGUGAUGAAAGUGUUUGAAUAUUAUAAAACAGAGAUACUAACAACAACAAUCACUACAAGAAAUGAGUUGAAGAUGAAGAUCAUAAGAUUAAGUAUGACUGUUUUGAUUAAUGAAGCCGAAGGAGGGGGCAGUAUUAUUGAGGAAAUCAAAAAGGGUAUUAAUAGAUUAUUUGUAUGAAGUUAAUUACUAGUAUUAAUCAUUAAUCAGGGUCUCUCUUUUACUUGCUCUAAUA